rnacentral:rRNA from 1 species
AUGGCUCAGGAUGAACGCUAGCUACAGGCUUAACACAUGCAAGUCGAGGGGCAGCAUGAAGUUUGCUUGCAAACUUGAUGGCGACCGGCGCACGGGUGAGUAACGCGUAUCCAACUCCCUAUAGUAGAGAAUAGCCCGGCGAAAGUCGGAUUUAAUGCUCUAUGUUCUUCUUUGAUGGCAUCUGACGAGAAGCAAAGGUUCACCGCUAUAGGAUGGGGAUGCGUCUGAUUAGGUUGUUGGCGGGGUAACGGCCCACCAAGCCCACGAUCAGUAGGGGUUCUGAGAGGAAGGUCCCCCACAUUGGUACUGAGACACGGACCAAACUCCUACGGGAGGCAGCAGUGAGGAAUAUUGGUCAAUGGACGGAAGUCUGAACCAGCCAAGUAGCCGUGCAGGACGACUGCCCUAUGGGUUGUAAACUGCUUUUAUAGGGGAAUAAAGUGAGGUACGCGUACCUUUUUGUAUGUACCCUAUGAAUAAGGACCGGCUAAUUCCGUGCCAGCAGCAGC